AUUCAGCUGACGAGUCCCAAGUAGGACGAAACGCGCGUCCUGGAU
rfam:Schistosoma mansoni strain Puerto Rico chromosome W, complete genome